UGAAAGGCUGGAAGUCAGCUAAAUCCAGCUGCUGGUCCCCAGGUGGGGCUCUGAGGUGGCAGAGGGGCUCCCCAGGUGAUGACCCAGCCUCCAGCACACCGGACACCAUUGAAAGCACAAACAGGGUCUGAGGCAGAGAGGAGCUGUGGACUCAUGCAUCAGGCCCCUGGGGUGCACACCAGCCCAGCCGUAUCUCCUGGGGUCACAGCUCUGUGGACAUGACUCCUGAUGCCCGCUGUCCAGCUCCCGUGUGUGACUGCACCCUGACUUUGAUGCCCUCUGACCAGCUCGAGUCUGUGACUGCACCGUGACUGGUGCCCGCUGUCCAGCUCAAGUGCGUGACUGCGACAUGACUGAUACCUACUGAGGCUAGCGGGACAAGGGGGGUGGAGCAGUGUGCCUUUAAAGAGAUGCCGGUGCAGGCUGAGGGCCACUCCUCCCGGGCGGCACUGAGCCAGCCUCUGCAAAUAUACAAUAAAUUACCAUUUCCCAGGCUACCGCUGCUUGC
rnacentral:lncRNA from 1 species